UGCGUAGGUGGUGGGGUAAGUUUGAUGUGAAAGCUCCGGGCUCAACUCGGAAAUUGCAUUGAAUACUAUCUCGCUAGAGGAUUGGAGGGGGGACUGGAAUUCUCGGUGUAGCAGUGAAAUGCGUAGAUAUCGAGAGGAACACCAGUGGCGAAGGCGAGUCCCUGGACAACUCCUGACACUGAGGCACGAAAGCUAGGGGAGCAAACA
rnacentral:rRNA from 1 species